rnacentral:rRNA from 1 species
GACGAACGCUGGCGGCGUGCCUAAUACAUGCAAGUCGAACGCAGUGGGGACGGGUGAGUAACACGUGGGUAACCUCCCAUCAGAGGGGAUAACACUUGGAAACAGGUGCUAAACCGAUACUGACUUAUGGACCCGCGGUGCAUUAGCUAGUGGGGGAGGUAACGGCUCACCAAGGAGACGAUGCAUAGCCGGCCUGAGAGGAGGACAGGCCACACUGGGACUGAGACACGGCCCAUACUCCUACGUGAGGCAGCAGUGGGGAAUCUUCGAAAAUGGGCGAAAGUCUGACAGAGCAACGCCGCGUGCGUGAAGAAGGUUUUAGGAUCGUAAAACUCUGUUGUUAGAGAAGCGGUAUCUGACCAGAAAGCCACGGCUAACUACGUGCCAGCAGCCGCGGUAAUUC